rnacentral:lncRNA from 1 species
ACCCCCAACCAAAUUGAAGGAAGCUGGUUUUGGAGGUUGAUUAUUGGAGGGUGUACGAAGGUAAUUCUCAUCUGUUUUCUACUAUCUGUACAAAUUAGGUCAAACAUUUCAUUGUGACUGAGUCCAUUGUUGGCACCACCCUGUCAAUUGGUAAAAUUGCUGAUCCCCCUGCUAUUCCAUUUGAAGUCAUCACCGCACAGUUCUGGAAUUGGAUUUGUUUCAAGCUCAUACCACAGGUUCUUGACUCUUUGUGCUCAUCAGAAAAAUAAUGCCAGGCCUUUCCAGAGCCUCAAUGCCAAGAUUGUCUAGGGUGUGCCCAACCACUGAUAAUUCCAGCAUAAAAUUUUCAUGGGAACCUCAAUGGCUUAUUA